UUCGCGUCUUCAGCCAUGUUUACACAACGUUGUCAGUACUACUACUGGCUUAGCGCGCAGGUUUUAUGGCAUAAAAGCGAAAAGAAUAUCGAUAUUUUCAACUUUCCACGUCGAAGUCAUCCAACACAAAUCUGCGAACAUAUUCAGACGUUGGUGUUCUUGUUUAUCUAGGAGAAAAUUGUGUCAGUGAAGAGCAUGAGACGAAAUAUGAGAUGAGUGAUGUGUGAAGAAAAUGAAGAAAAAUCAAGUCUGCAGGGGUCACGGGUUCAGCCGGAGCCUGCUGCACCUUCAACUUCUGCGCACCGAGGCAGGGCGCGAUGGGAGGAGAUGCGAGGGAGCCGCGGAGACGCACAGCCAGAGUCCUCGCCCUCUGGAUGACACUCUGAAAUUUGGGGAUCCCUCGACUGUGUGGACAUUAAGAAUUUCAUGGUAAUUGUUGAAGACAAGGAGGAGGGCUUGACCUCCA